CCGGGUAGCUCAACUGGCAGAGCGCCGCAUCUCCAAAUCGCGGAGGUUGGGAGUUCAACUCUCCUCCUGG
rfam:Acanthamoeba castellanii str. Neff unplaced genomic scaffold scf7180000084685, whole genome shotgun sequence.